UGGGGAAUAUUGCGCAAUGGGCGGAAGCCUGACGCAGCGACGCCGCGUGGGGGAUGACGGCCUUCGGGUUGUAAACCUCUUUCAGUAGGGACGAAGCGGAAGUGACGGUACCUACAGAAGAAGCACCGGCCAACUACGUGCCAGCAGCCGCGGUAAUACGUAGGGUGCAAGCGUUGUCCGGAAUUAUUGGGCGUAAAGAGCUCGUAGGCGGUCUGUCGCGUCGGCUGUGAAAACCCGGAGCUCAACUCCGGGCCUGCAGUCGAUACGGGCAGACUGGAGUUCGGCAGGGGAGACUGGAAUUCCUGGUGUAGCGGUGAAAUGCGCAGAUAUCAGGAGGAACACCGGUGGCGAAGGCGGGUCUCGUGGGCCGAUACUGACGC
rnacentral:rRNA from 1 species